UUUUUUUUUUUUGUUUUAACGGAAUUGAAAAAGAGCAUCAGACUCUCUCGUAUGCUUUUGUGAAAAACAAUUUUUCUUGUUCUUCUUUCUCUGAUUGGUCGAAUUUGAGGAGACAAGAGUUGACGAUUUUUCCUCAAUUGUUUUACAUGGCGUGUUCUCCAUGGUAUGUUCUCCUCAACUGAAAAUUUGGUUCGGCAAUUACUGUGAGAUCUAAAUUAUUUUAACUGUUUCCUCCAUUUAUUGGUAUUUAUAUAUUUUCUGCUUUUAAUUAUUAUAACUUUUGUAUAUGAUUGAAUAGUGCGCAAUAUUUAAUUAUUCACAUAGGCUAGCAACUGGCGUAAUUGGGUUUAUGUCAAGAAAAUAUACGAUCUAAAUAGCAUAUUUGUUAGUUAGGAUUGGAUUUUUUUUUUAAAUCUUAAUGCAAUUUAAAAAUUACAUCCUAUGAUCGUACCUAGAAUUGUUUCCGAAUUAGAGAAAUAGUUAACAGUCGUAUCUUAAUUAUUGAGAAAUUAAGUAAAAGUUGGUUGUUUAUCGCAUGUAUGACAACUAUAACCAAUCUAUUAAUAAAUGUUGGAAUUAUCUUUGAAUCAAUGAUUAGUUGUAUGAACCAUCUCUGAAGUGUACCAUUGGUUAGAGUUUCUCCAAUUAUUUCUGUCAAUUAAUUAUUUUUUGCAUUUGAUUUAUUUAGUUAGCAAUUCAUUAGCAUUUAAUUCUAAAAUUCCCCACUUGUCUUGACUCGAAAAGAAACAAACUUCUCCCCAAUCCCUGAGGAGACGACCCUACUUGCACUGUCUACUAGUUAGUAAAUUUUGUCAGUUAAUUAAUUAUGGUAUAUCGGAUUAACCAAAUUCUUCGGGAACAGGGUGAAUCAAAUAAUCCAUUGUACACCUAGAGUCUCUGCUCCAGUAUCUAGAAUUGAUUAUUGACUGUUUUUUGUGGUAGUUAGGUUUUUAUUAUUAUUAUACAUGCUUGGCACCUGUCAAUUUUUUGCAGAUUAUGAUUAGUUAAGUCCACAAUCCCAAGAUUUAUAAUCAAUUGAGUGAUAAAAGAGCCCAAAAUUAACGGCUUAUUUUUCUUGCUUAAGACGGUUCGAAGGUGAGAAGCAAACCAAUAACCAAAGUUGACCUUAACCUCGGCAACCAUACACCAAAUAAAAAAAAACUCAGGUUUGGUCAAAAUACCUUAACUGUUUUCUACCGGAGAAGCUGUAAGUCAUAAAACGGUGUAAAUAGCGAAAAAUGGGGCUCUUAAAAAAAAAGAGGAUUUAAACUGGUUAGGAUCAUAAGAUUGUUGGUCAACCGACAAUUCUCUCCAAUAGCCAGUGUUAUGGGAAAAGAAAGGCUCAAUGUACUCGCAGGUGCUUGCCAUAUAUUCAUCAGUUUGGGAGUAGGGAAUGUCAAUAAAAUUAAGGGCUAAAUUAAACUCAGUGAGGGAUUGUGUAAAAUCCCUACCCAUUAAUCUAAAACGCACCACCCCAGGAGUAGUAACGGAGAAUUCAUCAGAGACAUUAAACUCAAAACUGGUAUAGAACUCCCACGUUAAUUCAGUGAAGGCAGGUAAAAUAAUAGCAAUAUAACGAGUCCAAAACUAUGGUAGUUAACUUUUUAGUGAUCUCAUCUCUAAUAUUUAGAAGAUCAAGUGUAGGGUCAUGGAUGAACUUGCAAGGAAUAAUUUUUCUUGUGCAAGUAGCGGCAUACCGUUCUCUAUCGGCAGCCCUGAUAAAGGUCAAAUGGCCACUGAAGUAGGUCGUAGAGGAGGUGUGAACCUCCCUAAUGGGCCCAAGUCGGGUCCAGGGUUUCCCGAGCAAUCGCUUAGGAAGGCCCACUCAAAGGGACAGUAGAUUGUGGGGUGGAGGUGAAAGGUCUAUUCCUGCUUUUAUCUUUUAGUUUGGCCAUUUGAUAUCAGUGAACAGGGCAAGGGUAAGGUACGAGUGUUCAAAAUAAGUCAAUAGGCCCAACUAAGCAUGGGUCCCCAAUCACAAUUCCAAACACCAAUAAUUAAACAAAUAGACAAUAAACACACCAAAAACUAAUUAAACAGGUAGUCACAGCAAAAACUUUUCCAAAUAUCACGGGUUUAGCACAAAAUUGAGCAAAUAGUCAACAGUAGCCAAAGACAAAAUCACAACACCCAAAUUAAGCACAAAUUGUCUGUCAUCAGCUAAUGUUAACAGAAAAUUAAAGAAAGAAGGGACCUGAGGUGGGAACCGGCAGUAGGUACGAUGGCAGAGCGGCAGCGGCGGCGCCUGAAGGCCAUGCGUGGAGGUGCACCCGUGGCGGACACGCGCUUAGGCGGAGGCAUGUGCUCUUGCUGGUCGCGCAUAGAGAGGAAGAGUGCUGACUGGGCUCGCGCUGGCAGGGCUCGCGUUGGUGGGCGCUGGUCGCUGGUCGCGUGCAGUCUAGCACGAUGGAACGGAGCCCGCAGAGGUGUGCUUAGGCGUGCCUGGGCUAGAACGGAGCGCUCAGGGGCACAACUGCGCACUAUCUGGCGCGCGAUGGGAAAUAGAAGGACGCGCCACUGUGCGCUAUCUGCGCGCGAGGUAAAGAGGGAAGGCGUGCGAAACGCGCACUGCGAUGGGGCGCGAUGGUGGAGGAAGUAGGCGGUGAGGGCGAGAGGCGUAUGGCGGCGCACGGUCUUGCGGUCGAUAAUGAAGGCGACACUGAGUAGAAGAAGAAGAAAAGCAAGAAAAGGAAGAAAUAGAAAGAAGAAGAAGAGAAAGAAUGAAUGAAGACAAGAAAGGCAAAAAAGAAGAAAGUAGGGCAACGGGUCCUCUACCCCUUUUUUUAAGUGAGAGUAAUUUUGUUUUUUUAUCUCUUUUUUUUAAGAGCAGGGAACCCCCUUGUUAGGCGUAGGCAUGCUUAACUGCCUAAGAGUCUUCUGACCAUUCGCCCAAAAUUUGGAUCCUUAAACGUGACCACCUGACGUGAGCAUGCCUAACUCAUAGAAAGUCUUCUUACCAAUCUCCAGAAAUUGAGUUCCUUGGGCGUGACUACUUGGCGUGGGCACGCCUAACUGCUAUAGAGUCUUCUGACCGCGGACGUGAAUCUCUUUCCUUAAGCGUGACCACCUGGCGUGGGCAUACCUAACUACUCGAGAGUUUUCUGUCCGUCAAUUCAAAACUUCAUUCCUUAAACGUGACCACCUAGCGUUGGCACAUCUAACUGCCAGCUUCCUGCCACACAACAACAAACCACUAAAUGACACUAACACUGAACAAAAACUCCAGAAAGAUAAGAAAAUUAGAACAAAUAGCAUUGGGUUGCCUCCUAAGCAGCGUCUUUCUUUAAUGUCUUUGGUUAAACUUGGUCGGAACUCUCAAAAUGGAUAAAUUGGAUCCUCGAGUUGUAUGAACUCGACUUCCUCAACAGAGAAUCUUUCAUAGUAUGGUUUGAGACGCUGGUCAUUCAUCACGAACUUCUUCUCCGUCUUUAAAUUUUGGAUCUCCACUGCACCAUAAUAAAAAAUAUUAGAAAUGACAAAUGGACCAAUCCAACGAGAAUGCAACUUAUCGAAAAAAAGUUUAAGUCUCGAGUGAUACAAGAGGACUUUUUGCCCCACUACAAAUGACUUUCUUGACACUUGUUGAUUAUGAAAAAUUUUGCUCUUCUCCUUGUAAAUCAUGGUAUUCUCAUAUGCCUCAUUUCUAAUCUCUUCCAACUCUUGUAGCUGCAAUUUCCUAUGGACUCCCGCUUCCUCAAGAUUUAGAUUACACUGCUUCACUGCCCAGAAUGCCCUAUGCUCGAACUCUACUGGGAGAAGGCAAGUCUUACAGAAGACUAGUCUAUACGAGGACAUCCCAGUCGGCGUCUUAUACACGGUGCGGUAAGCCCAUAGUGCAUCUUCCAAUUUCAAGUUUUAAUCCUUUCUAUCAGGGCGUACCAUCUUCUCCAAGACAGACUUGAUCUCCCUCUUUGACACUUUGGCUUGACCAUUUGUUUGCGGGUAAUAUGGCGUACUCGGGUAAUAUGACGCGGAUACUUUGUGGAGUACGCCAUAUUUGCGGAACAAGGCAGCAAUAGUUUUAUUGCAAAAAUGUGUCCCCCUAUCACUUACUACAGCUCUUGUCAUCCCAAAACGGACAAAAAUGUUAGACUUUAAAAACACUGCAACCACUCUAGAAUCGUUAGUUCGGGUGACUUUUACUUCCACCCACUUAGAGAUAUAAUCAACGGUAAGUAAGAUGUAUACGAAACCAAAAGACGAGGAAAAAGGACCCAUGAAAUCUAUCCUCCAAACAUCAAAAAUUUCAACAAACAAUACGGGGAUUUGAAACAUUUGGUUCCUACGAAAAAAAUUUCCCACCCUUUGACACUUAUCACAAGAUUUACAAAAUAAAUAUGCAUCUUUGAAAAGGAUGGACCAAUAAAUGCCUCUCUCCAACACCUUGCAAACUGUUCGUUUUGGUCCAAAGUGUCCUUCACAUGCAAACGAAUGGCAAAAAAGUUACAAUAGAGUGAAAUUCACCUGCAUUUAAACAUUUUUUUAGCACUUAAUCCGAACAUUGCCUCUACAGGUAGGGGUCGUUCCAAAUAUAGUAUUUGACAUCACUUUUCACUUUGUCUCUCCUUUCCUUUGACCAACCUGCAGGUAAUUGGUUAGUUAUUAAGUAAUUCACGAUAUCAGCAUACCAAGGUGCAGACGAAUCAAUGGCAAGUAAUUGCUCUUCUGGAAACGCCUUGCUCUUUUGGAAACGCCUCUCUCAAUGGCUGUUCCUCCUUAUUUGUAAGCAAACGGCUUAAGUGAUGAGCAACCAAGUUCUCUGCCCCGUUUUUAUCCUUAAUCUCCAAGUCAAACUCUUGUAGGAGCAGAAUCCAUCUGACGAGUCUUGGUUUUGCAUCCUUUUUCGUCAUCAAAUACCUUAAGGCUGCAUGAUCAGAGAAAACUAUUACCUUUACACCCAACAAAUAAGAUCUUAAUUUUUCUAAUGCAAAAAUAACAGUUAAUAAUUCUUUCUCUGUCGUAGAAUAGUUAAGUUGGGUUCCAUUCAACUCUUUUGAUGCAUAGUAAUAGCAUGCGCCACCCUGCCAAUCCUUUGCCCCAACACCGUUCCCACUGCGUAAUCACUUACGUCGCACAUUAAUUCAAAUGGAAGGCUCCAGUUUGGGGGUUGAAUGACGGGUGGUGAUGUCAACAACUCCUUUAAUUUGUCAAAUGCUGCCUUGCAUUCCUCGGUGAAGUCAAAUGCUAUGUCCUUUUGCAAUAAUUUGAACAAGGGUGUUCCAAUUUUCGAAAAGUCCUUGAUGAAUCUCCUAUCGAACCCUGCAUGACCCAAAAAGGAACGUGCUUCUCGUACACUUACGGGAUAAGGUAAAACAGAAAUAAGGUCGACUUUUGUUUUAUCUACCUCUAUUCACCUAACCAACACUACAUGUUCUAAGACAAUACCAUGCUCCAUCACAAAGUAGCAUUUUUUCCAAUUAAGAACCAAGUUUGUCUCUAUGCACCUUUUUAAGAUUAAAACUAGAUUAUCAAGGCAUUCAUCAAAGCUAUCCCCAUACACACUGAAAUCAUCCAUAAAUAUUUCGAUAACUUUUUUUAUAUACUCGAAGAAGAUACUUACCAUGCACCUUUGAAAAGUUACUAGAGCAUUACAGAGACCGAAAGGCAUUCUGUGGUAGGCAAAAGUACCAAAUGGGGAAGUGAAUGUGGUUUUCUCUUGGUCCUCCGGUAUUAUCGUGAUUUGGAAGUACCCUGAAAAAUCAUCAAGAAAACAGUAAUAAACACGACCAGUCAACCUCUCUAUCAUCUAAUCAAUAAAAGGGAGAGGGAAGUGGUCCCUUUUUGUCACGGCAUUCGGUCUCCGGUAAUCAAUGCAUUGGCGCCACCAUGUGGGUUUCUUGAUUGGAACCAUCUCGCCUUCCUGGUUUUCUUCUAUAGUAACUCCCGCCUUUUUCGGGACCAUUUGAACUGAGCUCACCCACGGGCUGUCUAAGAUGGCGAAGAUAAUUCCCACCUCUAGGAGUUUGAGUAUCUCCUUCUUAUCUACUUCCAUCAUCAGCGGGUUCAAUUUUCGUUGUGCAUGUCUCAUCGGCUUUACAUCAUUUUCGAGCCAUAUUCGGUACAUGCAUAAAGAUGGGUUGAUUCCUUUGAUGUCUGUGAUGUUCCACCCAAUCGCUAACUUAUGAUCUCGAAGAAAACAAAUCAGGUUGUCUUCUUAAUUCGGUGACAGGUGUGCAAAAAUUAUCACCGGUAAUGUCUCCUUGUCCCCGAAAAAUGUAUACUUCAAAUGUUCGGGAGAAGUUUGAGCUCCAGCUCGGAUGCCUGCACAACAGAAGGCAACAAUUUUCUCUGAGUUUCAGGUACAAAGAUAGAAGUGAGCUUAUACCUUAAAGAAAUUGGUGGAAGUAAGUGCAGUGCUUCAAUCAUACUAUACAACUCAUCACUUAUUUCCACACUGAGAGUUGCUCCCAACUCAAGGUAUUUCGCCAAAGUUACUCUCAGUGCAUCCUCCCCAUCUAACUCAAACAUUUCCUGUACAAGGGGUUCAAUAACACUCAAAGUAAAAAUAGAGUUAGAUUCCUCCGGGUAUUUCAUUGCAUAAAAAAUAUUGAAAUUUAUAAUUUCUCCAUCAAACUCUAUUGACAAAGUACCUUCAUUCAGAUCUAUUUUUAUCCUAAUAGUGCUUAAAAAUGGUCAACCUAACAAAAUGGAUGACGAAUUUAAUGACUUUUCAUCCCCCAUGUUUAGGACAUAAAAAUCUGAUAGAAAAACUAACUCAUUAACCUGCACCAAAACAUCUUCAACUAAUUCCUCUGGAUAAGCAUUGGUGCGGUCUGCUAGUUGGAUUAUAAUACUUGUGCCUUUUAGUGGCCCAAUAUUUAGAGACGCAUAAAUAAUUGUACGCAUUACAUUAAUCGACGCCCCUAAAUCCAACAUUACUUUCCUAAUUGGGGUAUCUCCUAUUUUACAUGACAUUGUGAACAUACUUGGGUCUCCACACUUCGAAGAGAGUUUCUUUUGGAGUAUAGCCUACGCAUUUUCUCCCACUGCCACUCUUUCGUCACCCGUUAGCUUCCUCUUAUGGGUGUACAGAUCUUUCAGAAAUUUGGCAUAUUUCAAUACUUGCUUCAGUGCAUCCAACAAGGGGAUGUUGAUCUCCACUUUCUGGAAUACGUCUAGAAUCACUUUUUCCUUCUCUGCCUUCUUUGUCUUUUCCAACCUGUAAGGAAAAUGAGGUAAGUUAGAUUUAAUAUGAGCUGAAAAAGUAAAUGUUAUCUUAGGGUCUUCGCGAAUGCGCCCUUCUUCUUCAAUCUCCUUCUCUAUCUCCUCCUCACUUUUGCUUUUCGGAUUCGCCAACUUAGAUCGCUCCACUUCCUUGUUACUUCUCAAUGUCAUGACACUUACAUUUUUGGGAUUUGCUUAUGGUUGCAAUGUCAAUUUUUAAAAAACGUGAGUUUCCAGGCGAUUAAUGGCAGUUGUCAUGUGGCUUAUUCGAGUCUCCAUAUCUUUCAUGCCCGAUCUAGUUUUCUUUUGAAACUGAGUAGUACUUAUGGCCAAGCUCUUGACAAUGUCUGUCAAAGAGUCUCCUGAAUCUGCAAACGAAAGUUGAGGCUUUGGUUGCCAUAGUUGUUGAAAUCCUGGAGGGCGAUUUCCAAAUGAAUUCUACGGCCUGUUCCCGUAGCUGAACUUAGGAUGGUCUCUCCAACCCGAAUUGUACGUGUUGGAGUACGGGUCAUACUACCUGCGGGGCGCGAGCACGCCUCCAGCCAUAUUUACUUGUUCAGCUCCAUCUUUUUGCAAAAUAGGAUAUGUGUCUGUAAAGUGGUCCAUGCUUGUACAGAUUCCACAGACCUUCACUCGCUACGUAUUCCCCACGGCUAAUUACCGAACAAAAGACGUCAACUCUAACAGUUGCUGCUGAAUGGAUGACGUCUCUACCUCUUUGACCCUACGGGUGGAGUUACUCUCACGGAAGCCAAAUUGCUGCGAAUUUUCUGCCAUUGCUUCAAUAAGCUCCCAUGCUUCCCUCGGUGUCUUAUUUGCCAGUACUCCUCCACUCGCAGCGUCAAUGAUACUUCUGUCAGAUGACUGGAACCCUUCAUAGAAGUAUUAGAUCAAUAAUUGUUCACUAAUUUGAUGCUGUGGGCAUCUAGUACACAAUUUAUUGAAUCUUUUCCAAUAAUCAUACAGGGACUCCCCGAGAUACUGUUUGAUGCUGCAUAUUUCCUUCCUCAAACUUGCAGUCUGGGAUGUAGGGAAGAAUUUUUCUAAGAACUUCUUUUUCAACUGUGCCCAUGUGGUGAUACUACCUACGGAUAGGUAGUAUAGCUAAUCUUUCGCUGUAUCCUUGAGAGAGAAAGGGAAGACUCUAAGUUUAAUUUGCUUUUCAGUGACCCCAAGAGAUUUCAUGGUAGAACAAACCACUUCGAACUCUUGGACGUGUUUGUGGGGUUCUUCACCAAAUAAACCAUGGAACGAGGGUAAGAGGUGAAUUAACCCUAAUUUCGGAUCGAAUGAGGUAUUCUUAGCCAGAGUUGGGAAUGCAAUGCACAAAGGCUGGUGGGUCAACUCCGAGGCAGCCAACUCCCUUAGUGUUCGGUUGUUGGUCAUGCUAACUUCGUCUUCUACUGACUCGUUUGCAGUAGAUGACUACCCUUCUUUUCAUCUCUUGGUCUCUUGUUUUCGCCUAUGCACUGCUUUCUCAAUCUUAGGGUCAUAUAUCAAUUCUCAUGUGCGAGAAGAACGGGGCAUAAACUAACAAGAAUACCACAAAUAAACUAAACUCAAAAAAAAAAAUAAUUCAAGUGCCAGUCCCUGGAAACGGCGCAAAAAAUGAGAGGUGCCGAUCUGUGCAAUAAUAAUAAAAACCUAACUACCAUCAAAAGCAGUCAAUAAUCAAUUCUAGGUACUGGAGCAGAGACUCUAGGUGUGCAAUAGGUUACUUGAUUCACCCCGUUCUCGAAGAGUUUGCUUAAUCCGAUAUACCAGAAUUAAUUAACUGACAAAAUUUACUAACUAAUAGACAGUGGCAAGCAGGGUCAUCUCCUCAGGGACUGGAGAGAUGUUUGUUUCCUUUCGAGUCAAGACAAAUGGGAGAUAUUAGGAUUAAAUGCUAACGAAUUGCUAACUAAAUAAAUCAAAUGCAAAAAAUAAUGAAUUGACAUAAAUAAUUGGGAAAACUUUAGCCAAGGGUACACUUCAGAGAUGGUUCAUGUAACUGAUCAUCAAUUCAAAUAUAAUUUUAACAUUUAUUAAUAGAUUGGUUAUAGUUGUCAUGCACGCGAUAAACAACCGAUCUUUUUCGAUAGUUAAGGUACGACCGUUAACUAUUCCUUUAACCCGAAAACAAUUCUAGAUAUGAUCGUAGGAUGUAAUUUCUAGAUUGCAUUACGAUUUAGAAAAAUCCAAUCCUAACUAACAAACACGCUACGAGGGUUUGUUUAAAUUAGAUCGUAUGUUUUCCUGAUAUAAAUCCAAUUACGCCAGUUGUUACCAGGACGGAGGUAAUCGAACAAUUACGGAUUCGACUACCCCCAAUUAGCAAAAUAGCCUACGUGAAUAAUUAAAUAUUGUGCACUAUUCAAUCAUACACAAAAAUUAUAACAAUUAAAAGCAGAAAACAUAUAAAUAUCAAUAAAUAGAGAAAAAAGUUAAAAUAAUUUAGAUCUUACACUAAUUGCUGAACCAAAUCUUCAGUUGUCCUCUUGACUAGAAUUAAGAAGUUAGUUCUCCAUUAAUGGAGAACACACCAUGUAAAGCAAUUAAGGAAAAACCGUCAACUCUUGUCUCCCCAAAUUCAGCCAAUCAGAGAAAGAAGAACAAGAAAAAUUGUUGUUUUCUAUUGUUUCCCACAAAAACAUGCGAGAGAGUAUGAUGCUUUUCUUCAAUUCAGUCAAAACCAAAGGAAAAAGCAAAUUCAACCAACCAAUAAUUGUGGCUCUCUUCAAGUUCUUCCCAAAAAAGUAAGAAAAGUCAAAACUAAAAAGAAGUACAAUUCCUUCUAUGUUGGUAGCCACCAAAAAGGGUGAAGGAAAUCCUUUUUCUUUUUUGGCCAGGCCCACCAGAGAAAUAAACGCAUACUAGUCCUAGUUUUCCUCCUCAAAAAUUGGUAUUUGGAUACCAAACUUCCUAAAUAAAAGAGAUCCUAUUACAAAUUACUUUCUUCAACUUUGGAGUGGCCCCACCGAUCUCCAAAUUUGUAGCCAACCACUUCACUCAGUUUUUGGAAGCUUCCACAUGUGCAAAUCAUCCCGAGAAUCUGUCCUUCAAGGCUGGAGUUAGGCGUGGGCACGCCUAACUAUCAGGAAGUCUGCUAGAAUGACGAUUUUCAGCACUUUUUCUUCACCACUUCUUGCAAUUAAUCCCAAACACAAAUCUGAGUAAAAUCUAGCAAAUAGUGCGAUAUUUAGUCAAAACAAUUAUGCAAUAUUAACAAAAUAUCUCACUAAAAUGCACCCUAUCAAUGAUCAACUAUGUUUAUAUUUAAACAAACAUAGAUAUGAUUCUUAUGGUCAUUGUUUCUUGAUUGACUCUGUUUGAUUUGUGUAGUGUAAUGAUUUGACUGGAUGCCGACUUCGUAAAAAAAAUUUUUAACUACUAGCGCGGUGGUAUACUUGAAUUGUAGUUGAGUGGAAUUUUUGCCACUUAUGUGGACUAUUGCGGAUUGCUUUUUUCGUUUGGUCAGAACUAGAAGCGAUCUUAUUUUAUCGUGUGCUACGUAAUGACUUGAGCGGUUUUAAAAUUUUUUUGCUUCUUUUAGCCAAUCUUGUAGUCUGGUGUUGCUUCUUUUAUGAAGACUUAUGUUUCUGCGUUUUGAUAAAUAAUGCUAGCCAGUAUACAUGAUUAAAGCUGUUGACCAUUGUGUUUGUCUAGUUUAUUUGCUUCAAAUCCCGAUUUGCUAUUUGACAUCCUGGAACUAUUUUUUUAUGAUUUUGAGGUUGGCAAGAUUGUGAUUCUAACUUACGAACUUGGAAAAUUUGUGAGAGAAGGAUUUGGUUCCAGCUUCUCGAUAAAGUAUUCUUCAUUUCCAUUAUGAUAUUCUUUGUAUAUGCUUAAUAUUGUACAGUUCUUUUGCUUCCUUGGUUUUUUAGUUCCUGGUUCGGCGCUAUUUGAUGAUUGUAGUAGAAUCUACUGCACCUUAUUGUGAUCAAUUUGGCUAUGUUUAAGUUGACAUAGAAAUUGCUGCUUAUGGCCAUAGUUUUUAAGUGACUUUUUAUUUGAAGUUGUGUUGUUUCGUGAUUGGACUGGAUUUUGACUUUGUGAAUUAUUUCUGUUACCACUUUGUGUGGUGGUACACCUGAAUUGUACUUAAUUCAGAUUUUAAACAAUUAUGUGGACUAUUUAAGGUUGCUUGCUUCUUUGUCAGAGUUUGGAAGCGUUUUUUGUUCAUUGCCAAACUAAUAAUUCGCCUCAUCUUCUCCAUGCCUAAUAGACUAUGGUCACCUGAUGGUUGCAAUAAAUUCUAUGGUACUUUUAUGAUUGUGAUGGAUAUGGUUAAUUCUGAGUAGAUAGUCAAAUUGCUUCUUGUGGUCAUAAUUUUUUGAGUGACUUGUUUGAAGUAGUGCUGGUUAAUGACCUGAUGGAAUUCUGAACUUGUCAAUUGUUUUGAUAACUAAAGGUGCAGUGGUGCCCCUUAAUUGUAAUAUGUGAAUUAUGCCAUACUGCUUGUUUCUUUGAUGAAAGUUUGGAUGGAUUUUUGUUCACAAUGGAGUAGUGACCACAUUUUUGUCAUUGUGAUCAAUUUGGUCAUGUUUAAUUAUACAAACAAAUUGCUUCAUAUGGUUAUAGUUUCUUCAAUGUCUCUGGUGUUCUGUUUAAUGAUUUGACUAAAUUCUGAAGUUUCUGAUUGUUUUUUGUAACCACUGAUGCUGUGGUGCAGCUUAAUUAUGUUUCUUUUAUGAUUGAAGAAUCAGUUAUGCCUGCUUUGUGCUCUAAAGUGAUGCUUGUUUUACAAGUGUGACCAAAGUACCUUUUGUGGCUGUAGUUUCUGAUUGGCUUUUUUCUCUGUUGUAUAAAAUCUGAAUUUCCAAUGUAGCAUUGGUAAAUCAGUUGUACUUUAAUGGCAAUUUACCAAUUAUGUGGAUACUUUCAUAUUUCUUGCAACCAAUUGUGUGGAUACUUUCAGAUUUCUUGCUUCUUUUUGGUAAAUGUGAGAUUGUCUCUCUUGUAUAUUGCCGGUUUUAUCACAUUGACUGUUGUUCAUGGGGAUAUUUGUAUCUUCUUUAUUGGAAAAGUUUCAAUUUGAUCCUUUGAAAUACUCUAAAAGUAUCAAUUUGGUCUCUAACACUAUAACACAAACCUUAAUUUGAGUUCAAGACUUCAGUUUCAUCUAGGGCUGUCAACGGGCCGGGUCCGGGCCGGAAUUCAUUAUUCCGGACCCGGACCCGAAUUACUAUGCCGGAUCCGGACCCGACCCGUUUACCCGACGGGUCCUUUAUUCUACGUUCCGGGUCCGGAUCCGGCGGUCCCGGAUCCGGAUCCGGGUCUACCCGAACAAAUUUACCAAAUUUUAUAAUUUCUAAUAAAAAUGAGAAAAAAAUAUAUUUGUAAACUAAUUUCUAACUAAUGCAAAGAAAAAAUCAAAUAAGAAAAGAAAUCAAAUUAACUUUAUUAAAAUACAUCACCCUAAUCAAAUUAUAUUGAUAAAUAUAUAUUUUUUAAAUUAUUAAUUCAUUUAUAUCCGGAUCCGGGUCUAAUACGGGUCGGAAUACUAUAUUCCGUAUCCGACCCGUUUUUUUGUUUGACAAAACGGAUCCGGAUCCGGAUCCGGGAAACGGAAUUAAAUCCCUACCCAUACCCGCAUUAAUUUCACGGAUCCGAUCCGGAUCCGGGUCUAGACCCGACCCGUUGACAGGCCUAGUUUCAUCACAUUGAGAAGAUUUUUGAAUAUGGUCUUUCAAAUGUAGGAAAAUGUUAUUUGGAUUCCAUAUAUUGUUAUUUGCACUCCCAUCAUUUGUUAUAUCAUAUAGUCUAAUAAAUAAAAACUAUAUAAUAAAAAUGAUAGUGGGAGUGCAAAUAAUAAAAAGGGAGUGUAAAUAACAUUUUCCAAAAAAAUAUGGGUAAAUAUUUUGUAUGUGACUAUAUAGGGAAAACGACGAGUUUCAUCCCUCACAUUUUACAAAAAUAUUCUUUUCGUUCUUCAUUUUUAAAACAAAAUGAAUUUGUUCUUGAUAUUUAAAAAUAGAACCUAUUACAUCCCUCAAGUCAACUUUCAAUUUGAAUUCAGCCACCUAGCAACCCGGUUGCAAAUUUUGGGAGAUAUAAUUGGUAGAUCAUUUGGUUAAUUGAACUUGAUAUUCACGUGGAAUUCAAUGAAUCAAAAAAGGGGAAAAUAAAAAAUUAUAGCAUACAAAAGAAGGAUUUAUCCAAUGUUUUACAGUUUAAAUUUAAACAAAAAUCACGCAAGCCAAAUAUCCAAUGUUCCAAAUGUAUUUUGCAUAUCCGCCAAUAAAUAGAGAGUAACACCAAAAAAAUUUACUAAGGUAAACUGGUAAAUUCCAUAAUUUCCGCCAAAUUGAUAAAAUUACGUCAAAGUUUCACUUUGUUGGCCUCGUGUAUUUACAUGUAGAUGGAGCCCAAGUGAUGAGGUGCCACUGUACACGAUGCUAGGCAAUUUGGUCAAUAAAAAUUCUUAAAACCAAACCCCCCCCCCCCCCAAAAAAAAAAAAAAAACCUCAUAAAUUUGCAUGGGAGCGCCUCUAAACCCCAAUUUACUAGUGUUUGGAUUGCAGUUUUCUAUCUAAAAAAUUCUAUAUUUUCAGUGAACACAUUUUUCUAUUACUUUUUUAUCUCACAUACAUCAAAUCAUUACAAUAUAUUUUUCUUUAAAAAUUCUAAAAUAUAUCAAUCCAAACGCUAACCAAUUCCUACACUAGUUCAAAGGGAAUUUAUCUUACUGGGUAGUAGCCAGUUUUAUCUUACCGGCCACUACCCGUUAGAUUUCACUAAGUCAAGAAAUCUUUGAGGCAUGUUAAGUACUGCAUGGUAGCCAACUGAAGUAGACAGAGUUGGUUCCUCUAACCCUCUUCAACAUUUAAUUGAAAUUUAUGACCCCUGAAAUCCAACUCCUGUGCUGUACUAAACCAUACUCAUUAAAGCAACUAAAUGCGCUUGCUACAGAAACUAUUGAACAAUUGAUUCUUUCAACAUCCUUUCUCUUACACUCAACUAGCUUUCUUGAACCAUAUCUUUGAUCUCAUGGGUUAUUCUAGUGGGCAAAUCGUUGCUUGCCUAAUUCAUUCCCAGGACAGAUUUGUAAGGUGGCUCUUGCUAGAUGAUAUGUUGCAGAAAGUUGGUUGGUCCGUACAACAUUGCUAAAAGAUACAUGCUAAGAACACACCUGAUUAUUGAAUCCAAGGACUAAAAUACAGUCUCAGAAAGAAAUCUUCAGCCACCUGAUAUUAGUUUUACAGUCUACAAUCAGGUGUAACUGUGUGCAAUCAGAAAUAUAUGAAGUCGGCAACAAGAUAUUAGUUAUACAUGCGUAAUAUUAGGUGUGCUAUCAGUAUUUGUCCAAAUGCAUGACAAACAAGUAAUCAAUAUCGAUACUUGGUAGA
rnacentral:lncRNA from 1 species